CAGCCCUAAACGAUGCGCGUUAGGUGUAUCGGUGACCACGAGUCACCGAGGUGCCGAAGGGAAACCGUGAAACGUGCCGCCUGGGAAGUACGGUCGCAAGGCUGAAACUUAAAGGAAUCGGCGGGGGAGCACCACAACGGGUGGAGCCUGCGGUUUAAUUGGACUCAACGCCGGGAAGCUCACCGGAUAAGACAGCGGAAUGAUUGCCGGGCUGAAGACCCUGCAUGACCAGCUGAGAGGAGGUGCAUGGCGUAGUCGUGU
rnacentral:rRNA from 1 species